GCUGAACUUAAGCAUAUCACUAAGCGGAGGAAAAGAAACUA
rnacentral:rRNA from 1 species